AAGAAGGUUACUCGGAGCCUAGAAGAAGGAGCUCGUUUUAAGGAGCUUAUAGCGAGUUUUGUUUGCUUUGUCCCUCUUGACGUCGCUGGUAAUCCCAACACCUCCGUACAUGCGGAUGUACUCCGGGAUAGACGUGGAGAGCUAAAAACUGUAUGGGCCACCCUUGCUAGCAGAAGAGAAGGAUUCUACACUGCCGAUAUGAUGGAAAAGAAGUUUACCGAUCGAAUCCUCAUACAAUAGUCGUUUAACUUACUUACCUUAAGAGAAGUCUCUGUUUACGUAUUCGCUUUAGUUAGAUGCCUGAUUGAAAGAAAACUCUGGAAGAGUGCUGUGGUCUUGCUAUGGCUCUGGCGCCGAAAGGCCCCUCGAGUCCUCUUCAAGGCUGUAUUCCUUAUUCUUUUAUUGGUAUUACCAAAAACUCAUUUGAAAGAAAGAAAAAAAUGGGUUAUAACAAACUGAAGCUUAAAUAAAAAAGGAUUACUGAGAUGGUGAAUUGUUUCCUCUUCUCAAGGC
rnacentral:lncRNA from 1 species